UACGUAGGGGGCAAGCGUUGUCCGGAAUCAUUGGGCGUAAAGAGCGUGUAGGCGGCCCGGUAAGUCCGCUGUGAAAGUCCAGGGCUCAACCCUGGGAUGCCGGUGGAUACUGUCGGGCUCGAGUCCGGAAGAGGAGUGUGGAAUUCCUGGUGUAGCGGCGAAAUGCGCAGAUAUCAGGAGGAACACCAAUGGCGAAGGCAGCACUCUGGGACGUGACUGACGCUGAGACGCGAAAGCGUGGGGAGCGAACAGG
rnacentral:rRNA from 1 species